GGCACUUGGGAAUAAGGAUGAGGUUACCUGAGGGUUAUAACACAAUGCCCUGUUUAGUCAAAAACAAAGAAAGUUUGAAAAGCUAACAGUAUUUGACUACAGCUACAUGCCCAAACAGGAGUGGCCCUGACAAACUGGAAUGGAAGGAAAAGAACAAGUAUCUGAAGUGUACUCAAAAGAAUCCUUUGUUUGGAAUGCAGAGAUGACCUUUGUAGUUACAGAACAUGACCAAGGCUAUUCAGAGUUUCUACUCUUCUGAUAAAUCAUUUUUGGAAGUAGUUUGAACAAAGAAGGGAGUUUGUUGUUACAAUGUGUUACGUACUUAAAAAAGAAGUGAAGAACUUCCUAAUGUCAGCAAUUAAGAAGUCAUAUUUGUAAACAUUCUCUGCCAUAUACAAUAGUUAAUGACUAAUUUACACUAUUUUACUAUGAUUUUUAUAUUACUAUGCAAUACAUACCAGAAAUAAAAAGGUUUCAUGUUUUGAAAUGUUUAUGUAACAUGCUCAAUAUUUUAGCACAGCUUGUUUACAGGGCAAAGCCUAUUUUCACAGCAACACCAAAUACUUUAACACAUUAAACCACUAGGUCAGGUUUCAAAACAGUUUACAUUUCCAUUUGGAUGCCUUAGUAACAUGACUGUAUGCACAGAGUAAUUGCGCAUGCAAAUAUGCAGAAUGAGUCAUUUGAAACUACAGUAUUAAUAUUCGUGUCAAUGGGUCUCUCUCACACAUUGGAACACGGGGGGAGAGAACAGAAUACCAGAAACUGAAAAUCCUGUACAUCUAGAUUGCUAACUUUCUACAA